UACGUAGGGUGCAAGCGUUAAUCGGAAUUACUGGGCGUAAAGCGUGCGUAGGCGGUUGAUGUAAGUCUGUCGUGAAAUCCCCGGGCUCAACCUGGGAAUGCGAUGGAUACUGGCUCGCUAGAGUGUGAUAGAGGAUGGUGGAAUUCCCGGUGUAGCGGUGAAAUGCGUAGAGAUCGGGAGGAACAUCAGUGGCGAAGGCGGCCAUCUGGAUCAACACUGACGCUGAGGCACGAAAGCGUGGGGAGCAAACAGG
rnacentral:rRNA from 1 species